GCAAUUAGGAGUCACAGCCGCCUCUCCCCCUCCAUGGAUGAGGCAGCCAGCUGACAAGGCUGCUGUGGUUCGCGCCAAUGGCGGAGGUUGGACUAUGGCUGGCAAAAGAAGCAUCCAGAUUCAGUCUUAGGGGUUCCAUGGCCAAGACAAAGACCCGAAGACAUUCAAGCAGCACUUUGAGAGUAAGCAUCCCAGUACUGGUUGAUGUGCUGGCCUAAGUGGACCAAAUGGACCUACUGCUGGGACAGACGAUGACCACGAUUUGAAAUCUGCAACUGAGAUGGAAUAACAUUGAGGGACACACGCUGACACCGAGUAUGACUGGACAUGGGCUGGAUAUUUGGGACAACAACCUGAAAGGGGUGUAUAAGCACACCAGCACCCCAAUUUAUGUUAUUCCAUGGCCAACCAUUCCACUAGCUACCCCUUAUUCCACACUAUGCCGUGUAUGCCCCCUCAACUCCAGACACUUUGGAACUAUCCACCUUCCCAACCAACCUUCACUGAUUUCCGCUAUGCUGCUUCCUUCACUUGUUCUUCUAAUAGCAUCUAGAAUCAGUAACACCUUUAAAUGUGGUCCUGCUUUAAAUGACGCUCUGCUUAUAAAGCCUUCAUAAUGCCGUCAUAAGCACAACACAAGUGUUGCAAAGCAUCUAUAACCGUAUGUCAUGCUUUAUAAAGGGUUCAUAAAUGUGGCAUAACUGUGUUACAUAAUCACCCAUGUCAAAUGUGACAACACUUAUGUUGAAUAUGAUACAAUCAAGUGGUUUAUAACGGGUGACAUGUUGUGCUGAAGGAUGGCACAUGCGCUAAAGUGAAGUCAUGUUAGUCACAUUACACCUAAUCUCGAUCCCAGACACUUCUGCCCCAAAUGCGCAGAAGGUCUAGUGGACCAAUGCAUGAAACUUGGCCUUCAUUAGUUAGGGUUGGGUUUCAAAUGAAAUUUGAAUCAGAUAGAUUGAGGAAAUGGGCAGUGAUUAGCCAUAAUUAUGACUCUGUGGCUGUACUUCAUAAAUCAUCAGAACCUUUAAUGACCUAUUUAAGGACACUUUAUCUGGUGUCCUGUAAUACUUUGUUUGAAGGGAUACAACUUCGGUCAUUCAUAACACAUCCAUAAAGACUCUAUAUCCCAUGGCGCUGUACUUUAAAGUCAGACCCCUUUGGUCAUUUCUAAACACACAUAGAUGCCUUGUAUCAUAUGACGCUGUACUUACUAUAAAGUCAGACACAUUUGGUCAUAAUCAUAACGCAUACAUAAAGUAAUAAUGAUGUAAACACACAUGUAUUAACACUUAGGGAAUUAUCACUAACAACCAAAACAAAUAAAUGUUAAAGACCUGUUUAAACCAUACAUUUCCUUUUAUUUGUACAUUUAUUUUUUUAAACAAUACAAAUACAUUAAGUUUCAAAAAGCCCAGCAAUGCAAUAACUUUGACCAUUAUACAGGGCAGCGAUUCGUAUGAUCAUUCAUUUACAAAUCUCAUGACGUGACUAUUAGACGUGGCUGUUUCUAGGGGGACUUUUAUUUAGCGGAGCCUGCUAAAGUAGCUAGCUAAAUUUAAUUAGCUAGCUAGCAAUUGUUUUGAUGUCAUUGAAAUUAUUUAAAAUAACGAUUGAGGAAGCAAUGUAAUCUAACUCAACACUUAACUAGUACAAACUAAUUUCAAUUACAAUAAAAGGUUAGGCUACUUGUUUUUGCUACUCACAAUUGACACCAGCAACAUGGACCUGUUAAAUUGAUAAGAAGGGUGUUGAUAUAGAUGCGUUUAGGCACGGCUUCCUUGUUUUGAGUCUGUUAAGUGUUUCUUAGUCUGCUGGAGUUUACCUAAUGUUUUAUAUUAAACAUGCCUUAAGCAUCCAGUUCUUUCUCCAUUAAUAACUCACCCACAACAAAUCACAAAAUGCUGGUUUUACAUUUUGUGUUAUUUGAGCUGGCCUAAUUUCUAAAAUGGAAAAGCUAAAGAAUCGGUGCUCUCUCUGAUAAAUAAUAGUUAAUAUGGUGCAUGUCUCUUUAAUGUCCAAGAUUUGUGGCACUGAUGAAUAAAUAACGUAAUCUUUACUUCAAGUCAGAUGUUUCCAUGUAUAAAAGGCAGUGAUUGACAUGGCCUGUAAUAGGUGCCUGUACUGUUUAUACAGUAUUUAGGUGCAGGAGCUCCAGAAUACUAGUGAGCUAAUAUUCUAUGAGGAACAGCAGCUCAAACAGAAGACAAUGUGAGGUGCCGGUAAUCAGCUCCAUUGAGCUCCUGCCUAAAAUAAUAAUUGUUGGAUUUCAGGUGUUUGACAUGAUUGAUGGGUGACUAGGUACAUUCUUGUCAAAUAAAUUCUUAUUCAUUCAUGAUUAUGGAUACAUUCUGCAAUGAGUUAAUAUGGCUUUGAAUCUGCAACAGAACUAUACGCGUAUGUUGCUAAUAUCAUCUAGGUAGCUAGCUAGCUUGUUUGCAAAAAAUAGCCUAGUUGUCACACUCUGGCCUUAGUUAUCUGUGUUUUCUUUAUUAUUUUGGUUAGGCCAGGGUGUGACAUGGGUGAUUCAUUGUGUUUCGUCUUGUCUAGGGGUUUUAUUAGAUUAAUGGGGUUGUGUUCAGUUUAGUUGUCUAGGAAAGUCUUUGGUUGCCUAGAGUGGUUCUCAAUCAGAGGCAGGUGUUUAUCGUUGUCUCUGAUUGGGAACCAUAUUUAGGCAGCCAUAUUCUUUGGGUAUUUUGUGGGUGAUUGUUUCCUGUCUUUGUGUUUUAUGCACCAGUUAGGACUGUUACGGUUUUCACGUUUAUUGUUUUGUAGUUUGUUCAUGUUUGAGUUUUCUUAUUAAAGAACCAUGAACUAAAACCA